CCGGACCGGCGCGACGGGUGCGUAACGCGUAUGCAACCUACCUAUCAGGAGGGGGAGUAACCCGGCGAAAGUCGGACUAAUACCGCAUGAAGCAGGGGCCCCGCAUGGGGAUAUUUGCUAAAGAUUCAUCGCUGAUAGAUAGGCAUGCGUUCCAUUAGGCAGUUGGCGGGGUAACGGCCCACCAAACCGACGAUGGAUAGGGGUUCUGAGAGGAAGGUCCCCCACAUUGGUACUGAGACACGGACCAAACUCCUACGGGAGGCAGCAG
rnacentral:rRNA from 1 species